rnacentral:rRNA from 1 species
CCUACGGGUGUCAGCAGUGGGGAAUUUUGGACAAUGGGCUCAAGCCUGAUCCAGCUAUUCCGCGUGUGUGAAGACGGCCUUCUGGUUAUAAACCACUUUUGUAGCGAACGAACAGUCUAUUGAUCAUACCGCUAGACGCUGACGGUCCUCUCAGAAUCAGCACCGGCUAACUACGUUCCAGCAGCCGCGGUAAUCCGUAGGGUGCGAGCGUUAAUCGGAAUUACUGGGCGUAAAGGGUGUGCAGGCGGUUUUGCAAGAUGGAUGUGAAAGCCCCGGGCUUAACCUGGGAAAGCCAUACAUGACUGCAAGACUAGAGUGCGUCAGAGGGGGGUGGAAUUCCAAGUGUAGCAGUGAAAUGCGUAGAUAUUUGGAAGAAGACCGAUGGCGAAGGCAGCCCCCUGGGACGCAACUGACGCUCAUACACGAAAGCGUGGGGAGCAAACAGGAUUAGAUACCCCUGUAGUC